rnacentral:misc_RNA from 1 species
AAAAAAAAGAAAUUUAUAGAGGCAGGUUCUUCAUGUAAUCCACAAUUUCUCUAUAAAAUUGACAAUAGUUUGACAAAUAGAAAACAUGUAAAUUCAAUGGUGAUAUGAACGUUGGAUGCCCAGGGAACAUCAUGCUGUGACUGGAAUAUAUUCUAGAAAAGUUUCUGCCUGAAACUAAAAAAGAUUUAACAGAGGAAUUAAGUCAUGUUUCUGUAAAUUUUCUUUGUUUUUUUCUCUCUCUUCACCCCCCUCCCCCUUCCUUUUUGGUUAGAGGGUCAAAAUGAAGAAAUUUGCAUUAAGAUAAGCCACAAGGAGCCAUUACACAGAUAUCUUAUGAACCUCAGAAGCCUAAAUCAUGAUUAGAUUAUCUUAUAUUGACAAUGGCAGCCCAGAAGCUGCCAAAUUUGCAUUAACUUUGAUACGAUCAGCACUAGA